rnacentral:rRNA from 1 species
ACACUCAGCCAUACCACCCUGAGCACACCCAAUCCAUCUGAUCUUGGAGGCUAAGCAGGGUUGGGCCUUGUUAAUACUUGAAUGGGAGACCCCCAUCCAAGUACUAACUUUUGGCUCUA